GGCCGGUGAUUUAAGGAUUAAUAUUUGCUACUCUUGAUGGGAAUUUCCCAUUUGAUGAAUUUUAUCCACCAAGAUCUCUGAGGCC